GAUGAACGCUGGCGGUAUGCUUAACACAUGCAAGUCGAACGGUCUCUUCGGAGAUAGUGGCGGACGGGUGAGUAACGCGUGAGAAUCUGGCUCCAGGUCGGGGACAACAGUUGGAAACGACUGCUAAUACCGGAUGUGCCGAGAGGUAAAAGAUUUAUUGCCUGGAGAUGAGCUCGCGUCUGAUUAGCUAGUUGGUGUGGUAAGAGCGCACCAAGGCGACGAUCAGUAGCUGGUCUGAGAGGAUGAUCAGCCACACUGGGACUGAGACACGGCCCAGACUCCUACGGGAGGCAGCAGUGGGGAAUUUUCCGCAAUGGGCGAAAGCCUGACGGAGCAAUACCGCGUGAGGGAGGAAGGCUCUUGGGUUGUAAACCUCUUUUCUCAAGGAAUAACGCAAUGAAGGUACUUGAGGAAUAAGCAUCGGCUAACUCCGUGCCAGCAGCCGCGGUAAUACGGAGGAUGCAAGCGUUAUCCGGAAUGAUUGGGCGUAAAGGGUCCGCAGGUGGCAGUGUAAGUCUGCUGUCAAAGAAUCACGCUCAACGUGAUCAAGGCAGUGGAAACUACACAGCUAGAGUACGGUCGGGGUAGAAGGAAUUCCUGGUGUAGCGGUGAAAUGCGUAGAGAUCAGGAAGAACACCGGUGGCGAAAGCGUUCUGCUAGACCUGUACUGACACUGAGGGACGAAAGCUAGGGGAGCGAAUGGGAUUAGAUACCCCAGUAGUCCUAGCCGUAAACGAUGGAUACUAGGCGUGGCUUGUAUCGACCCGAGCCGUGCCGGAGCCAACGCGUUAAGUAUCCCGCCUGGGGAGUACGCACGCAAGUGUG
rnacentral:rRNA from 1 species